rnacentral:tRNA from 1 species
GCCCUGGUAGUAUAGUCCGGUCUAGUAUAGGCGGCUGUCGCCCGCCCGACAUUCAGUGAUGUUGCAUUGAUACGGGAACCGGGUUCAAAUCCCGGCCAGGGCG